rnacentral:rRNA from 1 species
UGGGGGAAACCCUGAUGGUGCGGCGCCGCGUGGGGGAUAAGGUCUUCGGAUUGUAAACCCCUGUCAUGUGGGACAUUAAAAGAUAGUACCACAAGAGGAAGAGACGGCUAACUCUGUGCCAGCAGCCGCGGUAAUACAGAGGUCUCAAGCGUUGUUCGGAAUCACUGGGCGUAAAGCGUGCGUAGGCGGUUUCGUAAGUCGUGUGUGAAAGGCGGGGGCUCAACCCCCGGACUGCACAUGAUACUGCGAGACUAGAGUAAUGGAGGGGGAACCGGAAUUCUCGGUGUAGCAGUGAAAUGCGUAGAUAUCGAGAGGAACACUCGUGGCGAAGGCGGGUUCCUGGACAUUAACUGACGCUGAGGCACGAAGGCCAGGGGAGCGAAAGGGAUU